GAGAGACAGAGAGAGAGAGACGCACACACACAGACAAACAUACAGAGAGAGAGAGAGAGGGAGAGAGAGAGAGUGCACGAGGCAGAGAAGGACCCCAGCACAGAGGAUGUUCUCAAAUGAAAUACAGCACCUAGCUGAUGGAGAGUCUGUGUUGUCAGAUAAGACAGACAAAACCUGGCUUCUUCUGCUCUUCAUGCUGUUGUUUCUUCUGGAAAAGGGCCGGACAUUGUACUUUAUGGAUUUAUUCAUCCAUCCAUCCAUCCAUCCAUUCAUCCAUACAUCCAUCUAUUCAUCCAUUUGCUUUCAGCAGCUGCUUCAUCCUGAUCAAGGAGCCAUAGACACUGAGGAUGAGGAUGAAAUAUAUUUUGUAUAUGAUGCCAAACAAUCCUAAGGAUAAUAUAAAGUAAUAUAAAGGAGAUCAUUAAUAAAAUUCACACACAAUGUGUAAAACAUGGAAGUAGAUCAGGAUACCAAGAUUCUCAGGUCUAAAGAAAUGUAGCCGACCCGAAUCACUUUUUACCCCAAAUCCGGCAUGCAUAUUUUUAUUUUUUUUUAAGAAAGACCCGACCCGAGACAAACCCGAAAAAAUU